GUGAGGAAUUUUCCGCAAUGGGCGAAAGCCUGACGGAGCAAUGCCGCGUGAAGGAUGAAGGCCUAUGGGUUGUAAACUUCUUUUCUCAGAAAAGAAUUAUGACGGUAUCUGAGGAAUAAGCAUCGACUAACUCUGUGCCAGCAGCCGCGGUAAGACAGAGGAUGCAAGCGUUAUCCGGAAUGAUUGGGCGUAAAGCGUCUGUAGGUUGUUUAAAAAGUAUUCUGUCAAAGAUUAGGGCUUAACCCUAGAUAGGCAGAAUAAACUUUUAAGCUAGAGUUUGGUAGAGGCAGAGGGAAUUCCCGGUGGAGCGGUGAAAUGCGUAGAUAUCGGGAGGAACACCAAAGGCGAAGGCACUCUGCUGGGCCAAUACUAACACUGAGAGACGAAAGCGAGGGGAGCAAAUGGGAUUAGAAACCCGGGUAGUCC
rnacentral:rRNA from 1 species